rnacentral:rRNA from 1 species
UACGUAGGGUGCGAGCGUUAAUCGGAAUUACUGGGCGUAAAGCGUGCGCAGGCGGUUAUGUAAGACAGAUGUGAAAUCCCCGGGCUUAACCUGGGAACUGCGUUUGUGACUGCAUAACUUGAGUGUGGCAGAGGGGGGUAGAAUUCCACGUGUAGCAGUGAAAUGCGUAGAGAUGUGGAGGAAUACCGAUGGCGAAGGCAGCCCCCUGGGUCAACACUGACGCUCAUGCACGAAAGCGUGGGGAGCAAACAGG